rnacentral:rRNA from 1 species
GUUCCCUCGGCGGGCUCAGCGCGCGGUGGCCUCCGGGCCUCCGGGCGUCCGCCGGGGAAAACCAAACCCUGAUUUAAUCGUAUUUCUCUGAGGGGCGAAAGCCCGAAAACAAAAUGAAUCAAAACUUUCAACAACGGAUCUCUUGGCUCUGGCAUCGAUGAAGAACGCAGCGAAAUGCGAUAAGUAAUGUGAAUUGCAGAAUUCAGUGAAUCAUCGAAUCUUUGAACGCACAUUGCGCCCGCCGGCACUCCGGCGGGCAUGCCUGUCCGAGCGUCAUUUCAACCCUCAGGCCCACCCUUCCGGGGGAGCGGGCCUGGUUCUGGGGAUCGGCGGCCCUCGCGGCCCCCGUCCCUCAAAUUCAGUGGCGGUCGCGCCGCAGCCUCCCCUGCGUAGUAGCACAACCUCGCACCGGAGAGCGGAACGACCACGCCGUAAAACACCCAAUUUUUUAAGGUUGACCUCGGAUCAGGUAGGAAUACCCGCUGAACUUAAGCAUAUCAAUAAGCGGAGGAAAAGAAACCAACAGGGAUUGCCUCAGUAACGGCGAGUGAAGCGGCAACAGCUCAGAUUUGAAAUCUGGCCUCACGGUCCGAGUUGUAAUUUGUAGAGGAUGCUUUUGGCGA